ACCGGCGGAAGGGCGAGUAAUGGUAUCGUCGUACCCUGAGGUGGGGGAUAGCCGCGGGAAACUGCGGGUAAUACCCCAUGUGCUCUACGGAGGAAAGCUCCGGCGCCUUGGGAGCGGCGAUAUUCCUAUCAGGUAGUUGGCGGGGUAAGAGCCCACCAAGCCGAAGACGGGUAGCGGGCGUGAGAGCGUGGCCCGCCGCAUCGGGACUGAGACACUGCCCGGACUCCUACGGGAGGCUGCAGCGACGAAUCUUCCGCAAUGCACGCAAGUGUGACGGAGCAAUGCCGCGUGUGGGAUGAAGCGGUUUCGCCGUGUAAACCACUGUCAGGACCUAGAAAGAACUGAUCGGGUCCAGAGGAAGGGCCGGCUAAUCUCGUGCCAGCAGCCGCGGUAAUACGAGAGGCCCGAGCGUUAAUCGGAAUCACUGGGCUUAAAGGGUGCGCAGGCUGGUCCGUGUGUGUGUCGUGAAAUCCCCCGGCUCAACCGGGGAAUUGCGGCGCAAACUGCGGACCUUGAGGCAGGUAGGGGUCGUUGGAACGAUCGGUGGAGCGGUGAAAUGCGUUGAGAUCGAUCGGAACGCCGAAGGUGAAGACAAGCGACUGGGCCUGACCUGACGCUCAUGCACGAAAGCGUGGGGAGCAAACAGGAUUAGAUACCCUGGUAGUCCACGCCGUAAACGAUGUGCACUAGAUCGGUGCG
rnacentral:rRNA from 1 species